rnacentral:rRNA from 1 species
AUUGAACGCUGGCGGCAGGCCUAACACAUGCACGUCGAACGAGUGGCGGACGGGUGAGUAAUGUCUGGGAAACUGCCCGUUGGAGGGGGAUAACUACUGGAAACGGUAGCUAAUACAGCAUACCAUCGGAUGUGCCCAGAGGGGAUUAGCUAGUAGGUGGGGUAACGGCUCACAUAGGCGAAGAUCUCUAGCUGGUCUGAGAGUAUGACAAGCCAAGCUGGAACUGAGACACGGUCCAGACUCGUACGGGAGGCAGAAGUGGGGAAUAUUGCACAAGGGGCACAAGCCUGAUGCAGCCAUGCCGCGUGUAUGAAGAAGGCCUUCGGGUUGUAAAGUACUUUCAGCGAGGAGGCGUUACUCGCAGAAGAGGCACCGGCUAACUCCGUGCCAGCAGCCGCGGUAAUAC